rnacentral:sRNA from 14 species
CUUUAACAAUCCGGAACAAGCUGAAUAAUUUGAAACGACGGCAUAUGAAUGUGAAUUCAUGUGUUGUUCGAGUCUCUCAAAAUACUCGCAUCCCGAGACACUUUCGG